CUUCUAAUUCCAAUGGAUGAUGAUGAAGUGAAAGUUGAAACAUAUGACAAUGGAGCAGGAGAUGGAACUUUGUCUUUUAAAGCAUUCCUAUGUUGUGAUUAUCGACCUGAGCUUCUGUNNNNNNNNNNNNNUAAGACAAGUAGUUGAUUCCCUUCAAUUGAAAAUGGUGGAUGCAGAAAUAUCUACCUUAGGAUGCCGGCUAAAGGUUGUGAUUUUUCUAACUGGCUGCAGAAAUAAGAAUGCUGUUGAUGAUGCUGAGGAACCACAGCUUCUCACAAAUUCUGUUCACCAGGCCUUGAAUUCUGUCCUGGAGAAAGGUUCUAUCUCAGCUGAAUAUUCACCAAGAAC
rnacentral:misc_RNA from 1 species